rnacentral:lncRNA from 1 species
CAACACGAGCCUUGUGUUGGACCUUGGGUUUAAGGUAGAUAGUUGUUGAUUUUAGUUAAGCGUUUAAUCUAAUUAAACCGUUAUUUCCUAUUGGGCGUUGGACCCAACUAUUCCAUUUUGCAUACAUAUAAACAAAAAGGAAUACAUGAAAUAAUAAUAAGGGCUUAUGCCCUUUUACAACACAAAUCAAAUGAUGGACUUAUGUCCAUUUACAACAACUUGAAUUAAUCAAAUUACAUUCAAAUCUACACUACCAAAACCCAAACAUUCAUAAUGUAAAGCGGCCAAUCACAUAGCUCAAUUAUCGAGGCCUUUGGUUCAUAAUCACCCUUUUCUCAAUUAAUCACAUUAACUAAGAAAGCAACUUAAACAAUUGGUUUUUGGAUCCAUAGAAUUGAUCUAAAUGGAACUAAAUGAAAUGAAAAUCCAAUUCUCAUUAAAGAGACAAAACAAUUUUGUUCUCAUUUUAUUUGGGCCAAAAGGAAACUAUGACCACAACAAUUGGGCCAUAAUGCAAAUACAAAAACUUUUGGGGUCACUUUGUAAAAACACAAUAGUCGACAACUUCAUGUAAUUACAACUAGAUCCCAAAAUUUCAUUAAUGUAAAAACAUCAUUAAAGGAUCAAAACAAUUUGUCCUUUAGCGUUUUAGGGCCUUAAUGUAAAAACGUAAACUUUUGGGCCAAAAUGCAAAAACACAAAAUUUUCACAACUUUAUGUAAUUGCACAAAAGGCCCCAAAAGUACCCCACUUGUUGGGGUGGCCGGCCAUUGAGGGUGUGAACAAGUGUGAAAGGGUUUUAGUGCAUGCAUGUGCAAUAUGCAAGUUGAUUUUGGUGGGUGAGGUAAAGGUGAAGUUGAUUGUUUGUAAGAAAAUGUUUUGUAAAACAUUAAUUAGUUUAGACAAACAUUAAAGCCAAUUUUAAUGCUUCACCAAUAUCUAUCACCCAUCAAAAUUAAACCAAAACUUUAUGAAAAACAUAAAACUUUUGAAUCAAAACUUCAAACCUUUUUGUUCUUGGCAAGAACUUCAAGAACAUUUGAAGAACACCAUGAAAACUCAUAAUAGCUCCAUGGAUGUUUUCAUUCACCAAAACUCAAUUUUUCACCACUCAAAAGAGGGCUAAUAUCCUAGGGUACUUAGGGGUUCCAAAAGUCACCUUAAAACCAUUUUAACAAAACAAACAUGAACCCAAAAAAUCACCCUAAGGAUUUGGCCGAAUUUCCCAAAACUCAUGGCACCAAAUUUUAGUUCCAAUAUUCAAGCUUAAAUGAAAUACAUCUACAACAUUUGAGAUGCUAAAUUUUCUAGCAAAAUUUAUAUAUUCAAAAGCAAGAACAAAGCUUGUAACAUUUACAACAUUUAAAUCACAUAUUAUGAAAAUCACAAAACCCAAAAGGAUUCACCAUACACUAGGCCUAGGCUCUGAUACCACUUGAAGGAAAAAUAUUGUCCUAGCUAAGAACAAGAAUGAACAUUUGAAUACUCAUGCAAGCUAUUAACACUUUAAAGUAGGCAUGCAUCCAAAAACAAUUCAUAAAACCCAUGACUUUCAAAGCCUAGUAUAUGGUGAACCAAAAUAC